GUCCUCACCACGGAGCCCAAAUGGUGCCGACUGGACUAGAUGGAAUGGGCAGCUUCCCGUUUGGUGGACAGACACCUGGCGCUGAGAAAGCAAACGGCAAGUAUGGCGUCGGCGGGUUCCAGUUUGCUGGGCAGCCGUUCAGCUCUGCAGGCAACGGUGCAGGAAUAUAUGGUGGCCUUGGUGCUGGCAUUGGUGGAGUUCCUGUACCUGGAAAAUAUGGUUAUGGCACACUGGCUUAUCAAGCUCAACCAGUUGCACUCGGCCCUGAACUGAAAUCGAUUGGCAAAUAUGGUCUGCCUGCUUCACCGUAUCAGCCCCAACAGCACGGUGGACACUUCGGCAAAUAUGGUGGUGAGGCCGCGAAUGCUCUGCAGGGCCUCGGAGGUGAAGCUAAAUCUUCUGGAAAAUACGACAAGCAGGGGGAGGGCCGGGUGCAGCCUCUUGAGUCCACCUCUGAGGGCACGUCCGACGCACAGUACGGUGCAGCUGGUUUAGCACAUCAGCCUCUGCCCGUGGAGCCACAUUCAGCUGGGAAGCCCUACGUGAAGGGAGAGGUGCCAGCUCCAGCCGGUGCGGCAGCAGUGGAGGGGCUCCCUGUUGGCACAUAUGACAAUGCCGGUUACAUAAAUGGACAAGUGCAGCCAGAAGUCGUAGCGUUCCCUGCGGCUCCCAGUCUCGACUCCAUCCCGGCGUCUCCCUCUGUCCCGGCCCAUCUGACCGAGGCGGUGCCUGAAGCCCACCUGGACCCUGCACCGGCCUCAGAGGCCCAGGGCGAGCAGCCUGACGAGCCCCAGCAGCAGCUGCCGCGUCAGAUCCACAUUCAGCAGCAUCUCAAACUCCAUUUUCACCCGCAGAGCAAAUCCUGGAGAGGCGCAAAUAAUGAAAAACAUGACUUGAAAGGCUUCUUUGGGAACAGUGGCCAUCAGGGUUAAUCCUCCCGGUUUGUUAUCCUUUCUCUCACUGUAUAUUAUUGAUGUUUUCCUUAAUGUAUAAUUUGGUUUUAGCCUAACUGAUAUUACUGGUAAAUGUAAACAUAGUAUUAAGUAUAGCGAAAAUCAACUACUUGGACUUUUUGAUUUGUGUAUAUUUUAAUACAUUCUGCAUAGUUAAUGAAUAUAUUGCUAAGAGUCUGCUGCUGCCUGUUGUCAGUGCUUUAUUUAAAGGAAUCAGUUAUGUCUGGAUGUUUUUAUCAAACCUAAUUCAGCCUAAUUUAUUUUAAUGUCGUCUUUGAAGCAAACUUCUGUUUAUCCUUGUACAGUACUGGAUUCAAUAAAACCAUCAUUGUUA
rnacentral:lncRNA from 1 species